rnacentral:miRNA from 1 species
AUGUCUCAAUGGCAUAGUGGUU